rnacentral:rRNA from 1 species
UACCAGCACUCCGAGUGGUCUGCACGAUUAUUGGGCCUAAAGCAUCCGUAGCCGGCCUUACAAGUCCUCCGUUAAAUCCAGCUGCUUAACAGAUGGGCUGCGGAGGAUACUAUAAGACUAGGAGGCAGGAGAGGCAAGCGGUACUCAGUGGGUAGGGGUAAAAUCCGUUGAUCCAUUGAAGACCACCAGUGGCGAAGGCGGCUUGCCAGAAUGCGCUCGACGGUGAGGGAUGAAAGCUGGGGGAGCAAACCGG